rnacentral:rRNA from 1 species
GAGUUUGAUCCUGGCUCAGGACGAACGCUGGCGGCGUGCCUAAUACAUGCAAGUAGAACGCUCAAGGCUUUAGCUUGCUAAAGUUGGAAGAGUUGCGAACGGGUGAGUAACGCGUAGGUAACCUGCCUACUAGCGGGGGAUAACUAUUGGAAACGAUAGCUAAUACCGCAUAACAGCAUUUAACCCAUGUUAGAUGCUUGAAAGGAGCAAUUGCUUCACUAGUAGAUGGACCUGCGUUGUAUUAGCUAGUUGGUGAGGUAACGGCUCACCAAGGCGACGAUACAUAGCCGACCUGAGAGGGUGAUCGGCCACACUGGGACUGAGACACGGCCCAGACUCCUACGGGAGGCAGCAGUAGGGAAUCUUCGGCAAUGGGGGCAACCCUGACCGAGCAACGCCGCGUGAGUGAAGAAGGUUUUCGGAUCGUAAAGCUCUGUUGUAAGAGAAGAACGUGUGUGAGAGUGGAAAGUUCACACAGUGACGGUAACUUACCAGAAAGGGACGGCUAACUACGUGCCAGCAGCCGCGGUAAUACGUAGGUCCCGAGCGUUGUCCGGAUUUAUUGGGCGUAAAGCGAGCGCAGGCGGUUUAAUAAGUCUGAAGUUAAAGGCAGUGGCUUAACCAUUGUUCGCUUUGGAAACUGUUAGACUUGAGUGCAGAAGGGGAGAGUGGAAUUCCAUGUGUAGCGGUGAAAUGCGUA